GUCCCAGUUCGGAUUGCAGGCUGCAACCCGCCUGCAUGAAGUUGGAAUCGCUAGUAAUCGCGGAUCAGCAUGCCGCGGUGAAUACGUUCCCGGGCCUUGUACACACCGCCCGUCACACCAUGAGAGUCGGGAACACCCGAAGUCCGUAGCCUGACCGCAAGGGGGCGCGGCCGAAGGUGGGUUCGAUAAUUGGGGUGAAGUCGUAACAAGGUAGC
rnacentral:rRNA from 1 species